GACGAACGCUGGCGGCGUGCUUAACACAUGCAAGUCGAGCGGUAAGGCCCUUUCGGGGGUACACGAGCGGCGAACGGGUGAGUAACACGUGGGUGACCUGCCCUCAGCUCUGGGAUAAGCCUGGGAAACCGGGUCUAAUACUGGAUAUGACUCCAUGACGCAUGUUGUGGGGUGGAAAGCCUUGUGCGGCUGAGGAUGGGCCCGCGGCCUAAUCAGCUUGUU
rnacentral:rRNA from 1 species